AUUUCAUGAUGAGGACAUUGCCUUUCAAGCUCCUUAAAUCUCAUCCAAGAUUCAUACAAAGUUUCAUCAUCUCUUGGUUUAAAAAGCUACCAUCAAAUUUCUCAAAUG